GACUCUCGCCAACGGAUAUCUUGGCUACCGCAUCGAUGAAGAACGUAGCGAAAUGCGAUACUUGGUGUGAAUUGCAGAGUCCCGUGAACCAUCCAGUCAUUGAACGCAAGUUGCGCCCGAAGCGAUCUCGGCUGAGGGCACGCCUGCCUGGGUGUCACGCAUCGCGUCGCCCC
rnacentral:rRNA from 1 species